rnacentral:lncRNA from 1 species
GUUAAAGAGUGCAAGAAGGCUGUCAAAAGGAAAGAAAACAAUUUUUCCUGCUUUCUGUACUCUGGGAACCCUCUGGAGGGAGAACUGCACCCUUCCUGGACACAAGCAGCGUGAAAUGCUUCUACAACAUACGGGGGAACUGACGGAAACCUGCAGAAGGAGAAAGGAUUUGGCACAAGGAGGGUGCCUCUGUUCAGAAGAAAGGAGACCUCCCUCUGGCAUUAUGGAAAGAAAAAGGCUUUCCUAAGCAAGAGGUUUGAGCAAAUUCUCAAGGUCCAUUGCCUGUUCCUGGUCUGAAAGCUUACACACUUCUGAACAAACAAAAAGUUGGACAGCAGCAUGUCUGACAUGUCUGUGAUGAUCUGUAUGGCUUGAGCUAUAGCACAGCUUGUGGUGGAGAGAGGUGAUGCGAGUGAUACACUCAGUUCUGGUUCUGCUGAACUCAAUGACUUUUAUACCUGCAAGUCAAGGAACAGACUGUUCCCACAGUAUUUAUGAAUCACGAUGGAAAGAAGUGAGCAGUAUGCACUGCAAUUGCCAGCUCUUAUACCUAAACCAGAGCAAAAGCCUUGUCACCAAGAAGUGCUGCUGCUGCUCCAAUAAAAAGGAUGAUGCAUGAGACUGCAGAGCAUUGCAGCAUUUUGCACUCUGUAAGUAAUUCAGAUGGAUGCUGAGCAAUAUCCACAAGAGAUAAAUAUCUUAAAAAACAGAUUCUGAAAAUUUGCAGACAAGAAUUCCACAAGAAUUAGCUGAAAGAAGCUCUUGGCUGAUACUAAUCUCUA